rnacentral:rRNA from 1 species
UACAACAUAGCGUUAAUGCACCGGAUCCCAUUAGAACUCUGCAGUUAAGCACACUCAAUCUAGAGUAGUACUGGGAUGGGCGAUUGCCUAGGAAUUCCUAGUGUCUUAC